GAUGAACGCUGGCGGCGUGCCUAACACAUGCAAGUCGAGCGGAGUCUUCCCUUCGGGGUUGACUUAGCGGCGGACGGGUGAGUAACGCGUGGGUAACCUGCCUUGUACAGGGGAAUAACAACGAGAAAUCGUUGCUAAUACCGCAUAUGCUCACACUACCACAUGGUAGAGUGAGGAAAGAUUUUAUCGGUAAAAGAUGGACCCGCGUCUGAUUAGCUAGUUGGUGAGGUAAUGGCUCACCAAGGCGACGAUCAGUAGCCGACCUGAGAGGGUGAUCGGACACAUUGGGACUGAGACACGGCCCAGACUCCUACGGGAGGCAGCAGUGGGGAAUAUUGCGCAAUGGGGGAAACCCUGACGCAGCAACGCCGCGUGAAUGAUGACGGUCUUCGGAUUGUAAAGUUCUAUCAGCAGGGAUGAAUAAAUGACAGUACCUGACUAAGAAGCCCCGGCUAACUACGUGCCAGCCGCCGCCGUAAUAC
rnacentral:rRNA from 1 species